rnacentral:rRNA from 1 species
UAGUCAUAUGCUUGUUUCAAGGACUUAGCCAUGCAUGCCUCAGAAUCACUGCAUUGCAGGAAUCUGCGCAUGGCUCAUUACAUCAGACGUAAUCUGCCGCCAAAAUCUUGCGGUCUCCGCAUUAUUGGAUAACUUGGCGAAACGCCAAGCUAAUACAUGAACCAAAGGGACGCUCCCUGCUACGGCCGCGGGGUGACUCGCGGUCACGGGACGUCCUGCGAAUGAAUGAAAUUAAGACCAACGCCCCCACCCGGGGGCAGUAACACCCAGACGUGUUGACUCAAUUCAUUCCGUGCGAAAGCCGGCCCUUCUUGGUGCCGGCGUGUGCUGACGAACAACUGCCCUAUCAGCCAGUGAUGGCCGUGUAGUGGACUGCCAUGGCGUUGACGGGAGCGGGGGAUUAGGGUUCGAUUCCGGAGAGGGAGCCUGAGAAAUAGCUACCACUUCUAC